GAUGAACGCUGGCGGCGUGCCUAACACAUGCAAGUCGAGCGAGAUAAAUGUGAGUGGAGACUUCGGUCAAAGCGAUCAUUUUGAAAGCGGCGGACGGGUGAGUAACGCGUGAGCAAUCUGCCCCAUACAAAGGGAUACCCACUGGAAACGGUGAUUAAUACCUUAUAAGACCACGAAGUCGCCUGGCUUAGUGGCCAAAGAUUUAUCGGUAUGGGAUGAGCUCGCGUCUGAUUAGCUAGUUGGUGAGGUAAUGGCUCACCAAGGCGACGAUCAGUAGCCGACCUGAGAGGGUGAACGGCCACACUGGAACUGAGACACGGUCCAGACUCCUACGGGAGGCAGCAGUGGGGAAUAUUGCACAAUGGGCGCAAGCCUGAUGCAGCAACGCCGCGUGAAUGAUGAAGGCCUUCGGGUCGUAAAGUUCUGUCCUAAGGGAAGAAUACAGUGACGGUACCUUAGGAGGAAGCCCCGGCUAACUACGUGCCAGCCGCCGCGGUAA
rnacentral:rRNA from 1 species